GGGCCCGCACAAGCGGUGGAGCAUGUGGUUUAAUUCGAAGCUACGCGAAGAACCUUACCAGGUCUUGACAUCUUGCGCCAACCCUAGAGAUAGGGCGUUUCCUUCGGGAACGCAAUGACAGGUGGUGCAUGGUCGUCGUCAGCUCGUGUCGUGAGAUGUUGGGUUAAGUCCCGCAACGAGCGCAACCCUUGUUACUAGUUGCCAGCAUUCAGUUGGGCACUCUAGUGAGACUGCCGGUGACAAACCGGAGGAAGGUGGGGACGACGUCAGAUCAUCAUGCCCCUUAUGACCUGGGCUACACACGUGCUACAAUGGACGGUACAACGAGUCGCGAACUCGCGAGGGCAAGCUAAUCUCUUAAAACCGUUCUCAGUUCGGACUGCAGGCUGCAACUCGCCUGCACGAAGUCGGAAUCGCUAGUAAUCGCGGAUCAGCAUGCCGCGGUGAAUACGUUCCCGGGCCUU
rnacentral:rRNA from 1 species